CUCAGCUUCUGUGCCAUAUUUUGGCGCAAAAAAGAUGGGGUUCAUGCCAGGAUUGACCUACACUAAUGAGCUUACUUCAAAAGAUGAGGAUCUUCACUGUGACUUUGCAUGUGUUCUUUACAAGUAGCUAAGUUAUUGCACAGUCUUCUGAAUGAACAAAGAAUUUAACAAAUUUUGCAUGAUGCUGUGGAAAUCGAAAUUGAAUUUGUUUGUGAAGCACUUCCCUGUGACCUGAUUUGGCAUGAAUUCAGUUCUUAUGAGUCAAUACAUAAAAUUGUUACCGGUCGCCUGCUGAGGCAAAUCAAACUUCGUUGAACGAAAAUUUGGAGAUUACCACAAUGCUUGUGUGAUGCAGAGUGAAAAACAGGAAGCAAGCAAUUUGGUUUUUCGCAUGGACGAAGAUUUUUGAGAUGCAGAAAACGUCAAUCUGCUAGUCAUUUGAAGGCCCUAGGCAGCUGCCAAGGAACAACAUUCUAAAGUGAACGCCAUUCAGUUGUCUUAGUAUGGUGGUCAUGGUUUGCCUCCCUUCCAUGGACACUUGUCUUGUUUUUUAAUAUCUUCUUUGACACGUUGAGGAAUUUAGCGGUUGUAGUGCAAUGCCAAUCCGUAGCGCGGAAGAAUUUUU